GACGAACGCUGGCGGCGUGCUUAACACAUGCAAGUCGAACGGAAAGGCCCUGCUUUUGUGGGGUGCUCGAGUGGCGAACGGGUGAGUAACACGUGAGUAACCUGCCCUUGACUUUGGGAUAACUUCAGGAAACUGGGGCUAAUACCGGAUAGGAGCUCCUGCUGCAUGGUGGGGGUUGGAAAGUCUCGGCGGUUGGGGAUGGACUCGCGGCUUAUCAGCUUGUUGGUGGGGUAGUGGCUUACCAAGGCUUUGACGGGUAGCCGGCCUGAGAGGGUGACCGGCCACAUUGGGACUGAGAUACGGCCCAGACUCCUACGGGAGGCAGCAGUGGGGAAUAGUGCACAAUGGGCGGAAGCCUGAUGCAGCAACGCCGCGUGCGGGAUGACGGCCUUCGGGUUGUAAACCGCUUUCGCCUGUGACGAAGCGUGAGUGACGGUAAUGGGUAAAGAAGCACCGGCUAACUACGUG
rnacentral:rRNA from 1 species